rnacentral:rRNA from 1 species
GUGGGGAAUAUUGGACAAUGGGCGCAAGCCUGAUCCAGCCAUACCGCGUGGGUGAAGAAGGCCUUCGGGUUGUAAAGCCCUUUUGUUGGGAAAGAAAUCCUGUCGGUUAAUACCUGGCGGGGAUGACGGUACCCAAAGAAUAAGCACCGGCUAACUUCGUGCCAGCAGCCGCGGUAAUACGAAGGGUGCAAGCGUUACUCGGAAUUACUGGGCGUAAAGCGUGCGUAGGUGGUGGUUUAAGUCCGUUGUGAACGCCCUGGGCUCAACCUGGGAAUUGCAGUGGAUACUGGAUCACUAGAGUGUGGUAGAGGGAUGCGGAAUUUCUGGUGUAGCAGUGAAAUGCGUAGAGAUCAGAAGGAACAUCCGUGGCGAAGGCGGCAUCCUGGGCCAACACUGACACUGAGGCACGAAAGCGUGGGGAGCAAACAGGAUUAGAUACCCUAGUAGUCC